rnacentral:lncRNA from 1 species
UAGGGAUCUAAUGUAUUGCAGCUGACCCUUGAACAAGAGAAAGAUGGAGACCUGGCUGGAAAGGAGGUGUGACCAUUCAUUUCAAGGAGCCCAAGGUAUACCAGCAUGAAGAGGAUCACCUGAGUUACCUGGAGAUAUUGAGAUAUGCCCACCCCUACCACCAUGUGCCUGCUGUGUAAAGCUCAAUGGGCCAUUACCAGGACCAUCCCAGUCCACUGUCUUCCAGGAAGCUCUGUACAACCAUCAGAAUCAUUCUGACCUGGCCACUGGAGUGUGUUCUUCAUUCUCCUGCACCACCCUCGUGUAUACCACUUUGGUUCUGACAUUGCACUGUUUCAGAAUGCUGUCAAGGUGGGUCUCAUGAGGAAUGGUAUCCAGGUCAGGGACAAACAAGGAGACCAAGGACAGCCAUGAGCAAGUUUCAGGAAGUUCCAUCACACAGCUGAGAAAUGGGAUAUGAUGUGGCCACAGUCUAAGCUGGACAAAGCGGAGUCUGAAAAAGGAACUUAUCUAACUGUAUUCUAUGGGUAUUUGCUCAGUGGAAAUUCAGAAGGCUGGAACUAACAGCAUGGGCCUUUUCCUCAAGUACCUCUGCACUUAAGAAAGGAUGCUUUCUACUGCUCUCAGCCCAAGUAUUCCCUCUAGUAUCAUUCAAUGGUGAAUAGCUCACCAAAUUGGCAAUGGCUAAGUUUGAACAAAAUGAAUAUAUUAGCAAUGACUGAAACCAAUAAAG